rnacentral:rRNA from 1 species
AGAGUUUGAUCCUGGCUCAGAUUGAACGCUGGCGGUAGGCCUAACACAUGCAAGUCGAACGCGAAAGUCCUUCGGGAUGAGUAGAGUGGCGGACGGGUGAGUAACGCGUAGGAAUCUGUCCUGUAGUGGGGGAUAACGUUUCGAAAGGAACGCUAAUACCGCAUACGUCCUGAGGGAGAAAGCGGGGGAUCGCAAGACCUCGCGCGAUUGGAGUGGCCGAUGUCAGAUUAGCUAGUUGGUGGGGUAAAGGCCUACCAAGGCGACGAUCUGUAGCUGGUCUGAGAGGACGACCAGCCACACUGGGACUGAGACACGGCCCAGACUCCUACGGGAGGCAGCAGUGGGGAAUUUUGGACAAUGGGGGCAACCCUGAUCCAGCCAUUCCGCGUGAGUGAAGAAGGCCUUCGGGUUGUAAAGCUCUUUCAGCAGGAACGAAACGGCGAGCUCUAACAUAGCUCGUUAAUGACGGUACCUGAAGAAGAAGCACCGGCUAACUACGUGCCAGCAGCCGCGGUAAUA